UAUAGAGGUAUGUGACUGUAGGUGGAGGUAUACAUGCAUGUGACUGUAGGUGGAGGUAAAGAGGCAUGUGACUGUAGGUGGAGGUAAAGAGGCAUGUGACUGUAGGUGAAGGUAUGUGACUGUAGGUGGAGGUAUGUGACUGUAGGUGGAGGUAGAGAGGUAUGUGACUGUAGGUGGAGGUGUAGAGGUAUGUGACUGUAGGUGGAGGUAUGUGACUGUAGGUGGAGGUAUGGGACUGUAGGUGGAGGUAUAGAGGCAUGUGACUGUAGGUGGAGGUAUAGAGGUAUGUGACUGUAGGUGGAGGUAUGUGACUGUAGGUGGAGGUAUGUGACUGUAGGUGGAGGUAUGUGACUGUAGGUGGAGGUAAAGAGGUAUGUGACUGUAGGUGGAGGUAUAGAGGUAUGUGACUGUAGGUGGAGGUAUAGAGGUAUGGGACUGUAGGUGGAGGUAUGUGACUGUAGGUGGAGGUAUAGAGGUAUGUGACUGUAGGUGGAGGUAUGUGACUGUAGGUGGAGGUAUAGAGGUAUGUGACUGUAGGUACAGGUAUAGAGG